rnacentral:rRNA from 1 species
AUUGAACGCUGGCGGCAGGCCUAACACAUGCAAGUCGAACGAGUGGCGGACGGGUGCGUAAUGUCUGGGAAACUGCCUGAUGGCGGGGGAUAACUACUAGAAACGGUAGCUAAUACCGCAUACCAUCGGAUGUGCCCAUAUGGGAUUAGCUAGUAGGUGGGGUAACGGCUCACCUAGGCGACGAUCCCUAGCUGGUCUGAGAGGAUGACCAGCCACACUGGAACGGAGACACGGUCCAGACUCCUACGGGAGGCAGCAGUGGGGAAUAGUGCACAAUGGGCGCAAGCCUGAUGCAGCCAUGCCGCGUGUAUGAAGAAGGCCUUCGGGUUGUAAAGUACUUUCAGCGGGGAGGCGUUACCCGCAGAAGAAGCACCGGCUAACUCCGUGCCAGCAGCCGCGGUAAUAC